rnacentral:tRNA from 1 species
GGGCCUGUAGCUCAGUUGGUUAGAGCGGGCCGCUCAUAACGGUCUGGUCCCAGGUUCAAGUCCUGGCGGGCCCACCA